AUUCUGCCCAAGCGGGGAAGGAUGAGAAGCUUCGACCAAGGUUCGACUCGAGCGCCAGCGAGAGAGCGUUGCCGCAGGCAACGACCCGAAGGGUGAAGCGCGCAGCGCUGAAUAAUCCUUCCCCAACCACCA
rnacentral:sRNA from 1 species